AGUGAACGCUGUCGGUGUGCCUAACACAUGCAAGUCGAGCGGUAACAAGUGUAGCAAUACAUGCUGACGAGCGGCGAACGGGUGAGUAAUGCUUCGGAAUCUACCCAAUGGUGGGGAAUAACCAGCCGAAAGGUUGGCUAAUACCGCAUAAGUUCUACGGGACAAAGCAGGGGAUCGCAAGAUCUUGCGACGAAGGUGUAGCCGAAGUCGGAUUAGCUAGUUGGUAGGGUAACGGCCUACCAAGGCGACAAUCCGUAGCUGGUCUGUGAGGACGACCAGCAACACUGGGACUGAGACACGGCCCAGACUCCUACGGGAGGAAGUAGUGGGGAAUAUUGGACAAUGGGGGCAACCCUGAUCCAGCGACGCCGCGUGUGUGAAGAAGGCCUGCGGGUUGUAAAGCACUUUUAGUGGGGAUGAAAAGCUCAGGGAUAACACCCCUGGGUCUUGACCUAACCCACAGAAAAAGCACCGGCUAACUCUGUGCCAGCCGCCGCCGUAA
rnacentral:rRNA from 1 species